rnacentral:rRNA from 1 species
CAGCAGCCGCCGCGGGAAUACGAAGGGUGCAAGCGUUAAUCGGAAUUACUGGGCGUAAAGCGUGCGUAGGCGGUGAGUUAAGUCUGCUGUGAAAUCCCCGGGCUCAACCUGGGAAUGGCAGUGGAUACUGGCUCGCUAGAGUGUGUCAGAGGAUGGUGGAAUUCCCGGUGUAGCGGUGAAAUGCGUAGAGAUCGGAAGGAACAUCUGUGGCGAAGGCGACUAUCUGGGCCAACACUGACACUGAGGCACGAAAGCGUGGGGAGCAAACAGGAUUAGAUACCCGCGUAGUCCCUGUCUCUUAUAC